CUGGCGAAAGGAUUGAAUGUAUUGCUUAUUCCAGCAGCGGUUAGUAAAGACGUCUCGAUCGCUUUUUUCGAGUGUCAAGAGCAGCGCUAAGAAUCUCUCGCCUGAUUGCAAAUGGAGGGAAAAGAUGGGGCGGGAGCCGGACUCAAGUGGCUUAUCGAGGGACGAAACUCAUUGGACGAAUACUCGGCGAUAUAGUGUCUCCCAUGAGGAAUGGCUUGAAAUACGCAACAGCCCAUAAACCAUCGAACUGAAAACAUUUCAAAGUGAUUUUAAUAUUUAAACGAACAAAACCAACAUUGCUCUUCAAGCGUGAAUUUGUUCAGACUAGAUCAAAAUGUGGAUAUCGGCUGAAAUUUGCCCAGCUACCCCAUUCCGAAGAUACGCACGAGGUCAACUUAAACUGCCGUUUUUGCUUGCUAGAGUAGUUAUUAUCGGUUUACUAAAGUGCAUGAAUGUGUCUGGCCAACAUCUAGGUGAUAAUUACGACAAUGAGGACUAUUUGCAACCGGAGCAGAUUCAUCUCAGUCUCGGAGCGGACGAAACUGAGAUGACAGUAACUUGGCUAACCCUGAAUGCAACAAAUUUAACUGCAGUCGAAUUCGGACCAAAGUCGGGUUAUGGGGUACGAUUUACGCGACGAAUACUGGGCAGUAUGAGUUUGUUCACGGACGGCGGCAGUGAACGAAGGAACCUGUACAUCCACAGAGUUACAUUGAAGAAUCUUAAACCGGGGUUUGUUUACUACUAUCACUGCGGCGACCCGGAUUGGGGCUGGAGUGCCGUUUACUGGUUCCAAGCGACACGUAACGACGCAACUUUCGACCCGCGGUUCCUCAUAUAUGGUGAUAUGGGCAACAAAAAUGGGCGCGCGUUAUCCACGCUUCAAGAGGAAGUCCAAAAAACGCAAGUGGAUGCCGUAUUGCAUGUGGGAGACCUCGCAUACGAUCUGGCUGACGACAACGCUCGUCGCGGUGACCAGUUUAUGCGCCAGAUUGAAACUAUCGCGGCUUAUGUUCCAUACCAAGUUACUCCUGGUAAUCAUGAAUAUCACUACAAUUUCUCAAAUUAUGACGCUCGCUUCUCGAUGUACAACAAACAAGAGCGGCGUAUCAAUAAUCACUUUUACUCGUUCAAUAUUGGCCCAGUACAUAUCGUCUCAAUAUCUACCGAAUUUUACUACCUUCUUCAGUUUGGCUAUCGGCAGAUUAAAUCUCAGUACGACUGGUUGGUACGAGAUCUGACGGAAGCCAACAAACAGGAGAACAGAAUUCAGACACCCUGGAUUUUUCUCUUAGGCCACCGACCUAUGUAUUGCACUAAUGCUGGUAAUUCGGAAUGUGCUGACCUAAACAACAUUGUUAGGGCCGGAAUGCCCUUUAGUCGAGCAUUUGCUCUCGAGCCGCUUCUCAAGAAGUUUGGAGUAGACGUCAUGUGGGCUGGACAUCAGCACUCGUAUGAACGAAUAUGGCCUAUAUUUAACGGAACCGUAUUAAAUAGAACCAAAGAAGCCUACAACGAACCCCAGGGACCAGUUCACAUAAUUACGGGAUCGCCUGGCUGCGAAGAAGGCUUAAGCCCAUAUGGACCUGACCCUUUGAGCAUGAGUGCUUUCCAUACUGACCACGAUUACACGUUUAGCCGAGUCCAUAUAGUUGAUAAGUCACACAUCGAUAUCGAGCAGGUUUCCGUUCCAACUGGUGCCGUCGUCGACAAAAUCUCCAUCAAGAAGGCUUUGUCUUUCCCAAAGUGGCAAGAACCAGAUUUACCCCUGGAUACAGGCGUUUAUCGUAUUUAAAAAAUGACUUCAGAACCUUUUAUGAGAGCUACAGGAACGCGACUGCAAGCUAUUUAUAUGAAACAAGUGACAGUAAUCAGUUUUAUAAAAUAAAAGCCUUUUCAUGUUAAGAGGCCGCUUGCUGAUACGUCAAGCGUUUGAUACCCAAUGACGCUGAAUCUAUCAAUAAUUGUUAAAAUUUCUCUUUUUUCUUAUAUUGACGUUUGAAAUCAGUGCGUUUUGCUUAUACACUCCCUUAGCCUUUUAGUGCGUUAUAUCGAAAUUAAAUACCACAUACAUUCUGCGUAUAUUAUGAGUAGUGUAGUAUAUAUCUUGAAGAGCCUGACAUAUAAAGUUGAGUCUUUUAGAAAAAAUAAGCGAAAGAUUUAAUUAGGCCGGCCCAUUCCGCGAAAAAACUACGUCUGUCACAUGUUUUAUGUAUUUUAAUA